UACGUAGGCAGCGAGCGUUGUUCGGAGUUACUGGGCGUAAAGGGUGCGCAGGCGGUGGAGCAAGUCUGUUGUGAAAUCUCCCGGCUUAACCGGGAGGGUGCGGCGGAAACUGUUCUGCUGGAGUGAGGGAGAGGCAAGCGGAAUUCCUGGUGUAGCGGUGAAAUGCGUAGAUAUCUGGAGGAACACCGGUGGCGAAGGCGGCAUCCUGGACCGGUAUUGACGCUGAGGCGCGAAAGCCAGGGGAGCAAACGGG
rnacentral:rRNA from 1 species